rnacentral:rRNA from 1 species
GACGAACCGUCCUAACGUUGUUCGGAUUCACUGGGCGUAAAGGGUGCGUAGGCGGUCGGGUAAGUCUGACGUGAAAUCUUCAAGCUCAACUUGGAAACUGCGUCGGAUACUAUUCGGCUAGAGGAAUGGAGGGGAGACUGGAAUACUUGGUGUAGCAGUGAAAUGCGUAGAUAUCAAGUGGAACACCAGUGGCGAAGGCGAGUCUCUGGACAUUUCCUGACGCUGAGGCACGAAAGCCAGGGGAGCAAACGGG